AUUUCAAAUCGAUUCACACACAUAGCAGACGCUAACACAUCAAGCGUCAUCAAUAGCGUGGUCUAUGGUGCAAUGCUAUCACUGGAGUAAGGCGUUUAUCUUCUAUUCGGGUAGCGUCAUGAUUGGCCUACCCUGAUGGCGUCAUGAUCGCUGCUGAUUGCCUUUCAAAUAGGUUUUCAGCAUUCUGCUUACACCUUUGGCAUAGAGUCACAUAUUUCACAAUCCAACAUCAAUUGGUACCAACAGCAGCCCUUCUCUCCAUCAUCCAGAAGGGUCUGAGAUCAGUGUUGGAGAUGAUGGUUCGGAACAACCCAUGGAAAGCUUAUCACUCAUUGAUGCUGUGAUGCCUGAUGUUGUUGCAAGUCGUCAACAGCAAACCCAGAACAAACAGAAACCACAAGUGGUAAAGACAGAACCACCAAAUUCCAAUGGAGAUGAACCCAUGCAUUCCAAUCGCUGGGAAGAGGAAACAGGAGUAGAGAUACCUGCCAGCAAAUCUACUGUACUUCGUGGCCAUGAAUCUGAAGUUUUCAUCUGUCUGCGCCUGAACCCAACAACAUUCAGAAGGGUGGAACUGAAGUUCCGAGCAACAAAGAUGUCACCUCACUUGACUGGUAUUUGCUGGGAUAACUGAACAGAAGUUUUAAAGAAAGACAGAAACAAUUGACAAGACCCAUCUCUUCUAGAUUAGUUGUUAGUUGCAGAUCCCGAUCUUAUCGAUUUUAUGAAAGGAUUUCUAGUUGAAGCAAAGGAGAAAGUGUUGGCAAUGCAGAAUGCAUUCAUGGAACAAUUAAUCAUUUAAUUCAACAAUUCCAACGUAAUACGAAGGAAAUCUGAUUUAUGGCUUAUUUAAUAGCUUAGCUUAUCGUCGUUAGUAACUUGCAUCGUAACGAAUUAAAUUUUUGGUAGCUUCUUGAUUGUUUAAACGAAGUACAAGGUUACAAUCAAUGCAUUAUAGUAGCGUUGUAUAAUGUACAAUCCACUUAAUGGCCACU